AAAAAAAAAAAAAAAUGUUUCUCGAAGACAAGAAAAUGUAGUAGAGAAUAUGGACUGCAACCGGCCAGAUUGGAUUCGCCUACGAUAGGUAUCUUAUCUAUGAGAAAACGGGAGUACACCUGGGAAAGCUUAAAGCGAGUAAAUAUAGCUUUUCAUCACCUCGACGCAAGCUGACUUUUUUGGUUUGGUUAUAAAGCGAAUAGCAUACUGGUUUUAUUCCAUACCAUUGAGGAACCCCCUCCUCCCUUAGGGCACUGCAUUGGUGGCCCUAAGUAGGCUCUUCAAUUGUCAGUCCUGCUUCUCACCUUGAAGUCUGACAGAUGUGCCACUUAACUAAUUUGGUAUGUUUGUUAGUGUUGUUUAGAGAAUGCAAGAUGGUGCCGUGAAAUGUUGGGAACCCAGUGCAGUG